rnacentral:rRNA from 1 species
UACGUAGGAUGCGAGCGUUAUCCGGAUUUAUUGGGUUUAAAGGGUGCGUAGGCUGUGAGGUAAGUCAGCGGUGAAAUGCCCCCGCUCAACGGGGUGAAGUGCCAUUGAUACUGCCUUGCUGGAAUGCGGAUGCCGUGGGAGGAAUGUGUGGUGUAGCGGUGAAAUGCAUAGAUAUCACACAGAACACCGAUUGCGAAGGCAUCUCACGAAUCCGCGAUUGACGCUGAUGCACGAAAGCGUGGGUAUCAAACAGG